rnacentral:rRNA from 1 species
GACGUAGGGUCCAAGCGUUGUCCGGAUUUACUGGGCGUAAAGAGCUCGUAGGCGGUCUGUCGCGUCGGCUGUGAAAACCCGGGGCUCAACCCCGGGCCUGCAGUCGAUACGGGCAGACUAGAGUGUGGUAGGGGAGACUGGAAUUCCUGGUGUAGCGGUGAAAUGCGCAGAUAUCAGGAGGAACACCGGUGGCGAAGGCGGGUCUCUGGGCCAUAACUGACGCUGAGGAGCGAAAGCGUGGGGAGCGAACAGG